rnacentral:rRNA from 1 species
AGUGAACGCUGGCGGUAGACCUAACACAUGCAAGUCGAACGGCAGCACAGUAAGAGCUUGCUCUUACGGGUGGCGAGUGGCGGACGGGUGAGGAAUACAUCGGAAUCUACUUUUUCGUGGGGGAUAACGUAGGGAAACUUACGCUAAUACCGCAUACGACCUACGGGUGAGAGCAGGGGAUCUUCGGACCUUGCGCGAUUGAAUGAGCCGAUGUCGGAUUAGCUAGUUGGCGGGGUAAAGGCCCACCAAGGCGACGAUCCGUAGCUGGUCUGAGAGGAUGAUCAGCCACACUGGAACUGAGACACGGUCCAGACUCCUACGGGAGGCAGCAGUGGGGAAUAUUGGACAAUGGGCGCAAGCCUGAUCCAGCCAUACCGCGUGGGUGAAGAAGGCCUUCGGGUUGUAAAGCCCUUUUGUUGGGAAAGAAAAGCAGCAGGUUAAUACCCCGCUGUUCUGACGGUACCCAAAGAAUAAGCACCGGCUAACUUCGUG